rnacentral:siRNA from 1 species
UGGGUUUAGAUACACUCUGAUGG